UUACCUACAUUUUUACUUGCUAUUUUCCAGGGUCCUGGAUAAGCAACAGUCUACUACACUCUGUGGUAUUUGAGAGUUCCCCAAAUCAGGCAGCUAUCAAAUGCCUCCAUUUAAAAAGACCUUAACUCCUUGUUUUUUUGACCCUGCAAAUGCCCUCACCUAUCUAAGAUAUUCUAAGAUAUGUACCUCUUAGAAUAUCUUAGUGACCGAUCUAUUUAAGAUGGUGACUGUGGAAAUAGAAAUCACCUCCACCCUGGAUCUCCCACUUUCAGAAGAGGAGAAAACAGAAUCUAAUCAUGAAGUUGUUAUCCCAGAACACUGUAUUAAACAUCCUCUACAGAACAGAUGGUGCUCCAGCAAGUACACAUAAACUCGGACAGUUAAGAAAAAAAAUGAAAGUAGAAAACCAGUGGCAUGCUGCUGUGCAAUACUGAGUCACAUGCGAGGCCCAGGUUCAGAUCUUGAAUCAACUCAAAUAUGCAAGGUACAAGUGCCCUCUGACAAAAAAACAAAAACCCAAAAGUCGUAAGGUACGUUGGAACACAAAAGUCUCGCAUUUCACUCCACUGCAAGAAAAAAGAUGAUCUAUCCAUGAAAUAUAAAACCCCACACCUGUACUGCUAAUAAAAACCUGUGUUGGGCAUGGUGUACUACUUUGCAGUGCUGGAGCCACCAGACCAGGAUUCCGACUCUGGGUUGACCUGAAACAAGCUAGAUGAAUUCACAUGUGUCUAUGAUCUUAAAUGGCUGGAAGGCUGGAGUGGGGCUGGAGAUGGAGGGCGGGUGGCGGUUGUGGCAUGUUGAGCCAUGAUGGAAGUGACUGUUUCCUUCACUCCCUUCCUCCCUCCCUUCUGCUCUCUUGGUCAAAU